rnacentral:lncRNA from 1 species
GGCAACCAUAAGUAACAAGGGUGAUGCUAGUGAGACGACCAUCUACUUAAGACUAUUUUUUGUAGAUUAUAUGAUGUAGCGGUUGGUGGUUAGGUUCCUUCUUGAAAAGAAAUACAAUCAUCAAUUGUUGUAUGAUGGUCUACGAAAUAUGGUCUAAAAAUGUGAUCCACGUUAGGCUCGAGUUGCGGAGUCAAUGUAACAUCAUGCUUUUGCAUUAAAUGUCUGAUGUGGAAUUGGUUUCACGUGUAACUCACUAUGACCACUCAGAACAACAUAUUUGUAUAAAUACUUUGAAGGACAGUUAUGAGUCGAUUUUAUAUUAUACUAGUAUUGCCUAUACACUUUGUGUGUAUGAACACAUUUUUUUAGAAAAUGAGAAGGAGGGGGAGAAAGAGAACAUGGGGGAGUGGAAGGUUUUGUUUUUGGUUUUUUAUUUUUAUUUUUAUAAAUAUUUGAGAUAUUUUAACAUCACCUGUAUGUGAGGUUUCAAUUAAAAAUAGUAAAAUUUGAAUCUAUGAAAUUACAUUAUUGCCCAUCAUUUUUUUUUUGUGUGAUAAAAGACUAAUUCGUCUUUUCACCUUCUUUUGGUUGACAAAGAGGGUUUUAUUAAUUAGUAGAGAUAUUAUUCCCUAUUCUUGGUAUAUUUUGGUUAUUAUUUUGGUGAGAUUUUGAUGCUUUGCUAUGUGUUUUUACUGUAGGACAUGUGAACUUGUUAUGAGCAUAAAGUAUUCAAACGGUGGAAUUUUUUGGUGAUUCCAAUUGGAGGGGUUCAUGAAUCUGUCAAGAAGGUUGUAUCAAAAUUUCAUAAUUUUAUCCUUAAGCAUCUGAUCGUGGAUCAAUUAAUUUAUGCUCAGUGAGUAGUGUUGGCAGAUUGGGCUGCAUAGCUUAUUUGCAACUUUUGGGCUGGAAGAUGAUGGAUUUUGGACUUGGGCUCUUCUUGGAACUUGAAGAGGAGGUCCUAAUGUUUAAUUUGAGUCAUUUUGGGCCUGUUUUGGAGCCCUGGAGGUCCAAAAACGUGGCUAUCUCUGUGUUAGGCGAAUUUCCUAGUCAUAAUAGAAAUGUAAUUCCCAGUAAUCCUUUUAUUAUUUUAUUUCCUAGUUUUUAGAAAACAUUUUCUAUGGGGGUUUUAAUUUGGAGUAGUAUAAAUAAGGCUUUUUAGCCAUUAGGGGAAGAACGCAUGCAUUAUUUUGGAGAACUUCAGAUUUUUUACCUACAAGGUGUUUUCAAUCCUUUUUUCUAGUUAAUAUAUUUUCUUUAGUGUUUAUUAUGAUUGGUCGUAACUAGUUCUUUUGCAAGGGCAAAGCCAUAAGCCUUAGUAUGAAUAUGUGAUUUUAUUAAUUUGCUUAUGAAUCGAUGCAUGCUUGCUUUGAAUUAUUAAUUACUGUGAUUAAAAUAUCUAAUUGUCAUAGUGAUUCGCGACUAUUAGGGAUUUUAGACAAGUAAUUUGAUGCAAUUUCUGUUGGAACAUCACCCUGAAAUUGAAUAGGGUUUCUUGUAAUUAGUAAUUGUAAGUUCACUUAAGGCGAACAUCACGCUCUUAAGGGUUGCAUGAUUUUUCAAAGGGUUUUCACAAAACUUAAUGAGUUUUGCAUGUUUAUAUUUGAUAUGAACAUCACAGACGGGUUGCAUGUUAGAUAUACGUUUUCGCUUGAACAUCACGAGGAAAAUAUGCAUUAGGAAAACCUAACCUUCAAAGCAUGUAUGUGGAAAUUGUAAUUGGUAAAAUUGCGUAGGAUUGUUAAUGGUGACAGCAUAACCCUAGUGUUUAAAUUGUUUUCUAAAACCUUUUUAUUUUGCUUUCUUUACUUUGUCAAUUAUUUAAUUAUUUUUAUUUAAAUUCGUUUUUAUUAUUUUAAAUUUCAAAAUUAACUUUUUCGAAAUUUGUUUUAAAUAAUUAAUUAAGAGUUGGUUUUAAAUAAAAAUUAUUUAUUCAAUCCCUGUGGAAAAUGUGACACACCUCAACCCGGCAUGUCCACUAGGACUCUAAAUCGAGCUGCGCUGGCCGACACCUGGAAGGUGACGAAGCCAUAAAGUGUGAUGAUGUGGAAAAAUGUGAAUAAAUUUAAACCUAAGAGUGCCUAAAUACCAGGGUGCGUUGGUGAACGGGAAGGAACCCACUUCACACGUGAUGUUAGAGCAUAAGUAAGUACAGUAAAGUGGAAUAAGAAUCAUACCCUCGAAAGAAUCUAAAAUAUUAAGAAUCGCCACGAAUCUUCGACGAUAAGAAAUCUCAAGGUUGAGUGGCUCUAGAAAUGAAAUUUUAAUAAAAACCAUAUAAAACAUUAUAACCUCUUGCUACAACACCUGUAUAGUUUCCAGAAAAAUCAUACCACGUAUCAAUGUGAAUCAAAGUAUAUCAACUGUAAAUCCAUAAUUAUACUACAACAUAACAUCUCAUCAGUAAUAUCAAUAAUCAUGCGAUUAAUAACACAUACUAGCAUGCAAGUCGAAGUCACCUAUGAUGACAUGUACGACUGCACCCAUAUCUCAUCAAUCAACGCUAGCAUAUAAGCCGGAGUCACUUAUAGUGACAUGUACGACUGCACCCAUAUCUCAUCAAUCAAUGCUAACAUAUAAGUCGGAGUCACUUAUAGUGACCUGUACAACUUAUCACAUAUUUCAUCACAUAUGCUAGCUUAUCACAUAUUUCAUCACAUAUGCUAGCUCAUCACAUAUUUCAUCACAUAUGCUAGCUUAUCACAUAUUUCAUCACAUAUGCAAGCUUAUCACAUUUUUCAUCACAUAUUUAAGCUCAUCACAUUUUUCAUCACAUAUGCUAGCUUAUCACAUAUUUCAUCACAUAUGCUAGCUCAUCACAUUUUUUAUCACAUAUGCUAGCUCAUCACAUACUUCAUCAUAUAUGCUAGCUUAUCAUAUAUUUCAUAACAUAUGCUAGCUCAUCACAUUUUUCAUCGUAUAUGCUAGCUCAUCACAUAUUUCAUCAUAUAUGCUAGCUUAUCAUAUAUUUCAUCAUAUAUGCUAGCUCAUCACAUAGUUCAUCAUAUAUGUUAGCUUAUCACAUAUGCUAGCUCAUAAGUCAGAGUCACCUCUAAUGACCUAUACGACCUAUCCAUAGCUUAAUAAGUAUACCUGCAUACCAGUCGGAACCACCUAAAGUGGUCUGUACAACAGGACUGGGUGUAAAUAAAUACGCUCAAGUGCUACGAUCACGUGAAGACUGUGUUAAUAAUCACGGGUCAACUACAAGUCAGAACCACCUAUGGUGGUCUGUACGAUAGGAUUGUGCACCUACCUUGGAUCUAAGGUGAGCGUAAGGUACAGGAGGUGAACAUCACGUGGAGGACUGUGCCCUGGCCACGGGCGGGAGCACUAACACCGGGGUGCAGGUUUAUGAGUUCUCAAUGUAUCUCAACAUAAUAUGUACAACUUAUGGGCAACCCGUAUGAUGCGAAAUAUAUAAGCACACAAAUUAAACCCUCUUUUUAUCAAUUGUAGUAAAGUAUGUAAGUAGGGAUCGUUCUAGGCCGGGGAUUAAGAGGGAUUGCUAAAUCACUUGGAAACUGACUUGAAAACGUAA